rnacentral:rRNA from 1 species
UCUGUCACUUAUAGAUGGACCCGCGCCGUAUUAGCUAGUUGGUGGGGUAACGGCCUACCAAGGCGACGAUACGUAGCCGACCUGAGAGGGUGAUCGGCCACACUGGAACUGAGACACGGUCCAGACUCCUACGGGAGGCAGCAGUAGGGAAUCUUCCGCAAUGGGCGAAAGCCUGACGGAGCAACGCCGCGUGAGUGAUGAAGGUCUUCGGAUCGUAAAGCUCUGUUUUAGGAAGAACAAAUGUGUAAGUAACUGUGCACAUCUUGACGGUACCUAACCAGAAAGCCACGGCUAACUACGUGCCAGCAGCCGCGGUAAUACGUAGGUGGCAAGCGUUAUCCGGAAUUAUUGGGCGUAAAGCGCGCGUAGGCGGUUUUUUAAGUCUGAUGUGAAAGCCCACGGCUCAACCGUGGAGGGUCAUUGGAAACUGGAAAACUUGAGUGCAGAAGAGGAAAGUGGAAUCCAUGUGUAGCGGUGAAAUGCGCAGAGAUAUGGAGGAACACCAGGGCGAAGGCGGCUUUCUGGUCUGCAACUGACGCUGAUGUGCGAAAGCGUGGGGAUCAAACAGGAUUAGAUACCCUGGUAGUCCACGCCGUAAACGAUGAGUGCUAAGUGUUAGGGGGUUUCCGCCCCUUAGUGCUGCAGCUAACGCAUUAAGCACUCCGCCUGGGAGUACGGUCGCAAGACUGAAACUCAAGGAAUUGACGGGGACCCGCACAAGCGGUGGAGCAUGUGGUUUAAUUCGAAGCAACGCGAAGAACCUUACCAAAUCUUGACAUCCUUUGACCGCUCUAGAGAUAGAGUUUUCCUCUUCGGAGGACAAAGUGACAGGUGGUGCAUGGUUGUCGUCAGCUCGUGUCGUGAGAUUU